AGCAGCCGCGGUAAUUCCAGCUCCAAUAGUGUAUAUUAAAGUUGUUGCAGUUAAAAGCUCGUAGUUGAAUUUCGGGAUCAGUUGGUCGGUCGUGCCUCGGUACGUACUGGUCAAAUUGAUUCCUACCUUCUGACGAACCACGAUGUCAUUAAUUUGGUGUCGCGGGAAAUCAGGACUGUUACUUUGAAAAAUUAGAGUGUUUAAAGCAGGCUCGCGCUUGAAUACAUUAGCAUGGAAUAAUGAAAUAGGACGUUUGAUUCUAUUUUGUUGGUUUCUAGGAUCGACGUAAUGAUUAAUAGGGAUAGUUGGGGGCAUUAGUAUUCAAUUGUCAGAGGUGAAAUUCUUGGAUUUAUUGAAGACUAACUACUGCGAAAGCAUUUGCCAAGGAUGUUUUCAUUAAUCAAGAACGAAAGUUAGGGAUCGAAGACGAUCAGAUACCGUCGUAGUCUUAACCAUAAACUAUGCCGACUAGGGAUCGGAUGAUGUUAAUUUUUAAUGUACUCAUUCGGCGCCUUAACC
rnacentral:misc_RNA from 1 species